rnacentral:rRNA from 1 species
AUUGAACGCUGGCGGCAUGCCUUACACAUGCAAGUCGAACGGCAGCACGGGAGCAAUCCUGGUGGCGAGUGGCGAACGGGUGAGUAAUAUAUCGGAACGUGCCCGGUCGUGGGGGAUAACGUAGCGAAAGCUACGCUAAUACCGCAUACGAUCUACGGAUGAAAGCGGGGGGAUCGCAAGACCUCGCGCGAUUGGAGCGGCCGAUAUCAGAUUAGGUAGUUGGUGAGGUAAAGGCUCACCAAGCCGACGAUCUGUAGCUGGUCUGAGAGGACGACCAGCCACACUGGGACUGAGACACGGCCCAGACUCCUACGGGAGGCAGCAGUGGGGAAUUUUGGACAAUGGGCGCAAGCCUGAUCCAGCAAUGCCGCGUGCAGGAUGAAGGCCUC